GACGAACGCUGGCGGCGUGCUUAACACAUGCAAGUCGAACGGGAUCCAAAGGCUUUUUGUUUUUGGUGAGAGUGGCGAACGGGUGAGUAACACGUGAGUAACCUGCCCCCUUCUUUUGGAUAACCGCAUGAAAGUGUGGCUAAUACAGGAUAUUCCAGGCUGGUCGCAUGAUUGGUUUGGGAAAUGGUUUGGUCUGGUGGGGGAUGGGCUCGCGGCCUAUCAGCUUGUUGGUGGGGUGAUGGCCUACCAAGGCGGUGACGGGUAGCCGGCCUGAGAGGGUGGGCGGUCACACUGGGACUGAGAUACGGCCCAGACUCCUACGGGAGGCAGCAGUGGGGGAUGUAGCACAAUGGGCGCAAGCCUGAUGCAGCGACGCCGCGUGAGGGAUGAAGGCCUUCGGGUUGUAAACCUCUUUCGCUGGGUUGAAAGGCCAUGCUUUGGGUGUGGUUGAUUUGAACUGGUAAAGAAGUACCGGCUAACUACGUG
rnacentral:rRNA from 1 species